rnacentral:misc_RNA from 1 species
GAUGAAGAACGCAGCAAAAUGCGAUAAGUAAUGUGAAUUGCAGAAUUCAGUGAAUCAUCGAAUCUUUGAACGCACAUUGCGCCCGCCAGUAUUCUGGCGGGCAUGCCUGUUCGAGCGUCAUUUCAACCCUCAAGCACAGCUUGGUGUUGGGACUCGCGUUAAUUCGCGUUCCCCAAAUUGAUUGGCGGUCACGUUGAGCUUCCAUAGCGUAGUAGUAAAACCCUCGUUACUGGUAAUCGUCGCGGCCACGCCGUUAAACCCCAACUUCUGAAUGUUGACCUCGGAUCAGGUAGGAAUACCCGCUGAACUUAAGCAUAUCAAUAAGCGGAGGA